AUUGAACGCUGGCGGCAGGCCUAACACAUGCAAGUCUAACGAGUGGCGGACGUGUGAGUCAUGUCUGGGAAACUGCCUGAUGGAGGGGGAUAACUACUGGAAACGGUCGCUAAUACCGCAUACCAUCGGAUGUGCCCAGAUGGGAUUAGCUCGUAGGUGGGGUAAAGGCUCACCUAGGCGACGAUCCCUAGCUGGUCUGAGAGGAUGACCAGCCACACUGGAACUGAGACACGGUCCGAAGUCCUACGAUGUUCAACAGGAAUUAAGAUUGCACAAGGGGCACAAGCCUGAUGCAGCCAUGCCGGGUGUAUGAAGAAGGCAUUCGGGUUGUAAAGUACUUUCAGCGGGGAGGCGUUACCCGCAGAAGAAGCACCGGCUUAGUCCGUGCCAGCAGCCGCGGUAAUUC
rnacentral:rRNA from 1 species